CCAAGUUGUGUAAUAAAGGGAAGCGCUAGAAUUCCACUCCAGACUCUGCAUGAUAUAUCAUAAUGGCCAAGAACAUAGGCUUUGGACUAUGAGUGUGAGGCUUUGUGGCCACAUCCUGGCUAUGUGGCCUGAGCAGAGGGCUUCACCUGGAAAAGACUCAGUUUCCCACCCUGUCAAAUAAGAAAAAUAAUUUCUGCCAUAUAGGACAGUUGAGGGCAUCCAGUGAGUAGUAGAGGCAAGAUCUUUGUGAUUAUCACACUACCCUCUUAUUGAAUUUGUUUCACACAACCCUAGGCUGUCACAGCUUAAAAGUGUUGCAUCCAAGGCAGAAAUUGGAGCAAUGCCCACAACACAUCCAAGUGUUAUAAAUCACUUCUCCUGGCACGAGGCUAUGGCUCUGAACAACUUACAUGGAAUAAGUCCCAAAGUCAGAAGAAAGAGUGGACACCUUCUGGCAAGUCAUUCAACAGGAUUUACUGAGCCUAUAGAUGAGAAUGUCAAUGCCUGGAUCUGUCCUUCAAGUCCGGUGAAUUCACUUAUUGCUUCCAAAUAUGCACAAUCUUGAAAGAAUAUGGUAUAAAUUCCCAAGAACUUGACUAAAAGGAACCCAACCCAGGAAUGUCCAGAAGGGUGCAUUUGGACCUGCAUCUGAAUGUCAAGAUGAAACAAUAUUAUUCUCCCAGCACUGCUGUAAGUUGCAGUUGUGAAUGAAUAGAUGCACAGAUAAAAUCAUACGAACAAAAUGUGUUUUUUGUUGGUGACUGGAGUAACUAGAGUGAAAAGCUUUUCAAGCUUUCUUCCAAAAUACGGAGGGAGCAGCAGGCUGGACCUAUUGUAUCUACUAAAUCUUGUCCUUGGAGCAUGCAUCUCAAGUAGACGUUCUUUUUAUGUCACACUUGAGGAAACUGAGGCUCAGAGAAAAGAAAUAAUAUCUUUGAGUCACCUAUUUCAUUAAGUGAGGAGCCUGGAGUUCAAAUCCUAAAUUGGGAGACUAUCCUGUGCUUUUGACAUACCACUUCCUAGAGGAUCAGGACAAGGAAGACACCAAGAUCUUCUCCAGAAAGAUUCAUGCAAAAGGAAAGUGACAUCCAAACUGCUAAGGAUUAAUUCUUCAAAGGCAGAGAGUAAAAUGAGGAAAGUUCUGAAGUAUGACUAAGUAGCCAGGGAUCUCCAAUAAUUGGCAUUGCAAAUGCUUCUCAAGGUUUGCUCCAAGGGCUACUACAAAUCACAGUGACCCUUGGAAUGAUACCUAUAUGUCAUCCUGGAUGUGGCCAUCAACUGGGGUUUCUCCUCUCUCAAUCUCUAUUGGCAAGUAUGACCAAGGAAACCUGUUGCCUCAGAGCUGUUUGUCACCCUACUAUAACAAUGAGUGAAACCAGCCAGCCUGAGGAGGAAGCCACAAAUGAAGAUAUGUUAGACUGAAGAAUGACCCUGAGUCUUUGAAACUUUGGAGACAUCAUUGAGCUUCUCACCAAUCCCUUCCUGAGUCCACCCUACCUCUGGAUUUCCAUGACAUAAUGAUACAAACUUAAUGAUUUUCUACACUUGAGUCUGAGUUUUCUUUUAUUCCCAGC
rnacentral:lncRNA from 9 species